AAAAAGAUAAGCUAAUUUUAAGCUAAUGGGUUCAUACCUCAUUUAUGGAAAAAUCCUCUUUUUA
rnacentral:tRNA from 1 species